rnacentral:snRNA from 1 species
UUGCUUUGGCAACACAUAUACUAAAAUUGGAAUGAUAUGGAGAAGAUUAGCAUGGUCCCUGUGCAAAGAUGGCAUGCAAAUUUGUGAAGCAUUCCAUAUUUUU